GAUGAUAAAUCCCUUCACCACCGGCGGGCGGCGGCGCGAUUGCGAGCGGAUCGGUUAUCGAGGCGACCCGGGAAAGAAGACGAUUGCGGGUGUGGAGAGAUCCAACCCAAUCCAAUCCAGUCCAAUCCAACAACAACACAAGGAAAGGAAGAGACGAUGGCGGCUUAUCCGACCAGACGAGACGAUCCCCUGUCGGAGAAGAGGAGGAAGGCGAUUGCGUGGAGCGAAGAGGGAGAGGUCUCGUCGCCUGAUCUCUUCACCUGGGUUCAUCAUCCUGAUUUCUUACGCAAUGACUGCUUGGAACAGGCCAGACGCGACCAAGAAUCAUCAGCUUCCGGCCCUGUGAAAAUCCCCACGCUCGACCGCUUCGAACCCCCGACCCGGUUUCACACCGCCGAGCUCUUCCCCGUCCGUGAAUCUGGAAGCCAGGCCGUCCUCUCCGCCGCCAAGUUUCUCCUAGGGGUUUCGUCCUCUCUUGACGGCGAAUCGCUGAGACGUUGCUCCGGCUUCUGGGUCGGUUGGGACGAGGAGACGAAAACCGGCCUUGUUUUGACAAGUGCGUGGCUCAUUCGCACAAAGGAUGCUCCUUCCGGCGUCUGGUCAGGCGGCCAAGAGUAUGCCCCUCAUGCUCAUGUCACUGUUCAUUUGCUAAAUGGCACCAGUGCAAAGGGCGAUCUGGUCUACUAUCAGCCCCAUUACGAUAUCGCUUUCUUGAAUGUUGAGGUGGGUCAACCAAUCAAGUCACCAUCUUUUUGUAAAAAAGAUGUAAAAUUUGCUCAAGAGGUUUUUCAGCUAGGAAGAGACAAUUCCUUAAAUCUAAGGAUAACAUAUGCUAGGGCAGAAUAUCUGAAUGCAAACAUGUUUGAGCGGCACCACAACGUGUACUUUUCUUCUCUAGAUGGCCAUGAUGAUUAUAAUAAUGAGUAUGACAAUGGGGGGCUAGUUAUUGACUUGAACGGAGAAGUUGUCGGAAUGGUCAACAACCCUGAGAGAUUUGGCUCUUUUAUACCUUCUUCCAUUUUGCUCAAUUGUUUGGAUUCAUGGAAGAAAUAUCGGUACAUUGCUCGGCCCCAUCUUGGGAUGAGAUUUGAGGCCAUCAAGCUUCUAGAGCCUGCUCAUGCUGACAUGUUAUGGCGUAUGUAUGACAUUGAUGACGGUCUUGUUGUUACAGAGGUGUCGAAAGGAUCUAAUGCUGAGAAAUGUGGAAUCCAAAAAGGUGAUCUUAUUGAAUGUAUUAAGGGAGAAUGCAUUUCUACAACAAUUCAGUUGGAAAAUCUGUUGAUGAGCAUAUGCAAAGGCCCUUCAGAUAGUCAAAAUUGCCAUAAUGCUGAAGUUCAUAUUUCUGUCGGGGUAUUUCACACACUCAAAAAAUACCGAAGGAUCGUAGAGUUGACUGCAAAUGUAUCAGACCUUGGAGAAGUUAUUAUUGGAAGAGGUUCAAAAACAUUCUCCUAAUUCUCUGCUUCCUGGUUCUGCCUGGAGGCCUUUUUAGAGUUGGUGGGUGUACUUUGCAACCUGAGUUGACUUUCAACCAGUUGUGCCUUAUCCAGUGAAUAUGUCGUGGAUGGUACUGACCCAGCAUAUGCUGCCCUAAACUUUUCAAUGCUGUAAUAGUCAUCAACAUGUGCUUGGAUCUCAGCUCCCCUGAUUGAGCAGAUGAAGGCCAAUGCAUGAAGGUACUGGAGUCUCUUGAACUGGCUGUCAGAAAAAGGAAAGGUUUCCAUAUUAGAUGUAUUGUGAUGGAUCAUAUGUACUCCAUGUGAAGAUAGUAUCUCGGCGGGCUGUUAGACUCAAAGAAAGUGUGAAUGCAUCUAGUGGACCAUUUUGGAAUGACGUCUGAGAUCCCAUGUUAAAUAGGGAAAUAUGGUCAUGUUGUUGGAAUGAUGUUUUGCUUGACCUUCUGUUUGACGAGAUUUUAUCAUGAUUUGUUAGUUAC